rnacentral:rRNA from 1 species
UACGUAGGGGGCAAGCGUUGUCCGGAAUUAUUGGGCGUAAAGAGCGUGUAGGCGGUUAGGUAGGUCUGUUGUGAAAACUCGAGGCUCAACCUCGAGACGCCGAUGGAAACCAUCUGACUAGAGUUCGGAAGAGGAGAGUGGAAUUCCUGGUGUAGCGGUGAAAUGCGCAGAUAUCAGGAAGAACACCCGUGGCUAAGGCGGCUCUCUGGGACGGUACUGACGCUGAGACGCGAAAGCGUGGGGAGCGAACAGG